UUUCUGCCAUCAACCAAAAAGGCAUAAGUUCGACGGAGCUGUUGAUAUUGUCUGUCAAUUGAGGUGCUGGCACUCAGUUAUAAAGCAACCGUUCUGAUCUUAUGAACUAGAUAUGCAAAGCACGGCACGUAACGUACAGUAAUUCAGCCAGACGACUAGCAAUCUACAACUGGUAAGAAAAUUGAAUGUCAUGCACGCAGUUUUUAUCUAAGAGAGUAGUGAAUAUGAGAUGAAAUGGAGGCUUAAUCACUAUGCUAGGCUUUACACAUUGGAUGACACAAUUUCUUUUUACUUUUCAGAAUGCUUCCUUAUGAAACAAAUGCUCUACAGAUGCAAGAAAGAUUUUAGGAAAUUCCCCAUGGAGAUCAAAACUAUUUGCUGCCAUUUCUGCCAAACGAAAAUGCUGAAACCAUACCUGGAUUGAUCUCGUAGCAGCUCAGAAAAGUUCCAAAGAUUGAUCAACCUCUGUGCAAUUCAUGGCCAGAUGAGCUAGGUAGUUUCUUAGGUGUGGAGAUGGAGGGUGGAAGUUUGCAUGGCUGAUGCUCCACAUUUUAUGGUCUGCCUCUAGUGGUUUUGGUCGUUUUGUGUGUUGAAAUAGUCCUAGGAACUGUGCCGGUGGACAGGGCAUUCUGAUCGUCUGGUUCUUGUGCUUCCAUGGGCUGUAAAUUUGACAGGAGUUCCAUUAAUAGUGAGAAGGGCUUUUAGGAAGGCAUUUCAUUAGUCAUUGUCUAUUAACGGCAGGUGUUGGUUACUUCGAUUCACUAUCUACAUGUUGCAUGUUUGGCAAACCAUCCUCAGAUUCAAUAUUGACCUGCAAGUCUGUAAGAGUUUAUGCUAAGGAAUAUUUGAUCCAAUGUGCCAUGGUUCUGAGAUAUUUGUACUGAUUGGAGUUGGAUUUUGUUCAGUACCUGAUCCUGAUGUGAUGAAUACAGCAAGCAUCUAAUCUUACUUCUUUUCUCUUCAAAUUGAAGGAGGGAUAAGUGUUUUAACUGAAUAUUUCCUUAAAGUGGUGUAUAAACACUGCAAGGACAUGAACAGAAUAUGUAAAAAUGGCUCAAUGCGUUGCUAACUGGAAUGUGGAUUAGUAAUCCAUCUCUACAUUGAUAAGAUAUAACAUCACAUCACUUAACAUGCCAUAUAUUUCUUUGAUUCUUUCCCUGUUGGGUACUUGGAGUGUAUUUGCUAGGUAAUGCACCACAGACUUCUUAUAUGGGAAUAGUUCAUAUUGUUAUCGGCUCUCUUUCACAUCAUGAACUAUUUACAGUUCUCCGGUUUAUUUUCAAUGCGGGUCGAACCUAUGGUUACCGGAUGGUUGAAUGCUAUUAACGAGAAUAGGAAUUCGCUUUUCUUAACAAUAGGACUUGGAGAUUUUUUUGGUUCAUCAUGCUAUGGCUUUAGGUUUGCAUACAGCUACAUUUGAUUUUAGUAAAGGGUGCUUUAGAUGCAUGUGAUUCCAAAAUAAUGCACCAAUAUUUGGCACCAAGGACAUCGUCGUCAUAUCAAUAGGAACAUCCGGUGUUAAAAAUAAUUUGAGACAGAGUUCAGUUUGCUGAAAAAUCAGACCUUCUAUAGGUUUUUAUUUCGGAACUUCUGAUUGAUAAUCUUUCAUUUGAUUUAUUUUAAUCAAACAAAGAGCUCGACUC
rnacentral:lncRNA from 1 species